UUAGAACCUUAAAUAUAAAAACCACGAAACCAAAAAAAACAAAAACAUUGAACCGAACCGAACCGAAAUAAAAGUAUUUUC
rnacentral:sRNA from 1 species